rnacentral:rRNA from 1 species
UACAGAGGUCUCAAGCGUUGUUCGGAUUCAUUGGGCGUAAAGGGUGCGUAGGCGGCGCGGUAAGUCGGGUGUGAAAGUCUUGGAGCUUAACUCCGAAACUGCAUUCGAUACUGCCGUGCUUGAGGACUGGAGAGGAGACUGGAAUUUACGGUGUAGCGGUGAAAUGCGUAGAUAUCGUAAGGAAGACCAGUGGCGAAGGCGGGUCUCUGGACAGUUCCUGACGUGAGGCACGAAGGCCAGGGGAGCAAACGGGG